GACGAACGCUGGCGGCGUGCUUAACACAUGCAAGUCGAACGGAAAGGCCCUGCUUUUGUGGGUGCCCGGGUGGCGGACGGGGGAAGAACAACUGAGGUACCCUCCCUUGACUUUGGGGAAAAUUCAGGGAAAUGGGGCAUAUAACGGACUGGGGCCCCUGGCGCAUGGUGGGGGGUGGGAAGGUUUCGCGGUUGGGGAUGGGCUUGCGGCUUAUCAGGUUGUUGGUGGGGUAGGGGCUUACCAAGGCUUUGAAGGGUAGCCGGCCUGAGAGGGUGACCGGCCACAAUGGGACUGAGAUACGGCGCAGACUCCUACGGGAGGCAGCAGUGGGGAAUAUUGCACAGUGGGCGGAAGCCUGAUGCAGCAGCGCCGCGUGCGGGAUGACGGCCUUCGGGUUGUAAACCGCUUUCGCCUGUGACGAAGCGUGAGUGACGGUAAUGGGUAAAGAAGCACCGGCUAACUACGUG
rnacentral:rRNA from 1 species